AUUGAACGCUGGCGGCAGGCCUAACACAUGCAAGUCGAGCGAGCGGCGGACGGGUGAGUAAUGUCUGGGAAACUGCCUGAUGGAGGGGGAUAACUCCUGGAAACGGUAGCUACUACCGCAUACCAUCAGAUGUGCCCAGAUGGGAUUAGAUAGUGGGUGGGGUAACGGCUCACCUAGGCGCCGAUCCCUAGCUGGUCUGAGAGGAUGACCAGCCACACUGGAACUGAGACACGGUCCAGACUCCUACGGGAGGCAGCAGUGGGGAAUAUUGCACAAUGGGCGCAAGCCUGAUGCAGCCAUGCCGCGUGUAUGAAGAAGGCCGUCGGGUUGUAAAGUACUUUCAGCGGGGAGGCGUUACCCGCAGAAGAAGCACCGGCUAACUCCGUGCCAGCAGCCGCGGUAAUAC
rnacentral:rRNA from 1 species